GGGAUUGUAGCUCAGUGGCAGAGCGCUUGCCUUGCACGCGUGAGGCCCUGGGUUCGAUCCUCAGCACCA
rnacentral:tRNA from 1 species